rnacentral:rRNA from 1 species
UACGUAGGGUGCAAGCGUUAAUCGGAAUUACUGGGCGUAAAGCGUGCGCAGGCGGUUUUGUAAGUCUGUCGUGAAAUCCCCGGGCUCAACCUGGGAAUUGCGAUGGAGACUGCAAGGCUAGAAUCUGGCAGAGGGGGGUAGAAUUCCACGUGUAGCAGUGAAAUGCGUAGAGAUGUGGAGGAACACCGAUGGCGAAGGCAGCCCCUGGGUCAAGAUUGACGCUCAUGCACGAAAGCGUGGGGAGCAAACAGGAUUAGAUACCCGUGUAGU